GAAAACCUUGUAUUGUGGGGGCGGAAAAAAAAGCUCUUGUGGUGAAGAGAGGAAAGGGGAAGGGAGGCACGCGCGAAUAGGCGGCGGCGGAGGCGUCUUCCCAGUAGAUCCAGUGUUCAGGUUGCCCAUCUUUCCAGCCGGCACGGCGUCGGCGUGCUCCAAGCAGGAUGAGAUCAGCGAAGGGCGCGGGCAGGCGGAGAGGUGGGGUGCCGGCCUCUUCUGUGGCUGCCCACGACAGUUGCGGCGCCGCCGCCGGCGAGUGCACUGGCGAGAGCGCCCCAGCGGAGUCGGGGGAGUCGGCGGUAAAGCCUGAUCCGAAGUCGACCGGCUGGAUUAGAAGGGUACGUGUGGGCGCAAAUCCAAUUGAGCGGCCACCCUGCCCAGGCAGGGUGGGAGCGCUUGAGAAGACUAUCAGGGGCUUUGUGGACAGGGAGUGGGACGAAGUAGUGAAGCCAGAGCUAGGGACAAAUUUCGACUCGCUGACAGAGGCUAACGAUUUUUAAACUUAUAUUCGUGGGAGCAUGGCUUCGGCAUUAGAUACGGGAAAAACAGGCUCAAUCCUGAUAGAAGGAAGACCAUGCAGGAGAUUGUAUGUGGAUGCUCGGGGAAGCCUCUCCGUGAGAAUACAAGAUCCUGUAGGUGUGAGUGUCCAGCAAUGAUUAGGCUGUUGAGGGCAUCAGAUAAUGGGUAUCCAGAUUUACACCUGACGGAUAAAGCUUAUACUGGAAGCAUCUGGCUGCUGGGCUGACCAGUGGGCCAUUCCCAAGUUGUCAAGCUAAUGGCCCAGAUGCCGCUUUGGACGGCCCUAGAAAAACAGAAAUCACUAGGACCGUACUGGACCCUGCUAGCUGGGCCUCAUAAAUGACUAAAGACAACCCACAUGACCACUGUUCAGAAAUGCACGCGUGAAGUGAAUACCCGCGCAUAUACAUGCAUAAGCGUGGAUCCCGAGGAGGUACAAGGGCUGAGAUAGUGCUACUAUAUGCCAGUAUGACCCAUAUGCAAUUUUCGAAAAUUCUAAUGCUUUUUUGCUGACUUGGUUAGUUCUGUUUCUGUCUGGGACUUUCAAGUUAGCCAGUCUCAUGCAGCGGCAAUUCUGUCUACCAAGCUGAAGCGUCUGAUAAGUACGAUAUCAAAAUGCAAAAGGAAGUUGACACCGGAAAAGGUUUGUGGGUUCUUUGCUUGCCUGCUUAUCAUGCAAAGGAUCAAAGUGAGAUAUGUGCUGAAGCAAUGCAGCAGCACGAGGGGUGUUCUGAAUUUACUAGGCAUUGAGUUAAGUAGCAACAAGGAGCUGGCUAACGUCUCCAAUUUGUGUGGCACGCAAUAUUAGCGUAUGAAGCGGAGAUCUUGGACUUUGGCGGCUACAGCUAUUUUCUGGACUAUAUGGCUCACCAGAAAUCGGUAAGUUUUCGAUAACAAUUGGAUUCACCUUGUGAUAAUCGUGGAACAGUGUCUGUGCAGACAGGACCAAGCUAUGGCACAUAGAACUCGCGGGGUGGAGAGACGUUCUGUUCAGAGUUGGCUUUUUUUAGAUAAUCAGGGAGGCAAAGGUAACACGAUUGCAAGAAACCAUAGUUUAUGCAAAAUGCAAAGUCCUCUACACAUUGAUAGCAUCAGCUAAUACAAUGUCCCCCUACACAUUGAUAGCAUCAGCUAAUACAAUGUCCUCUACACAUUGUACAGAAACUACGUCAAUUAAUUCGGAUAGGAGGGAGUAGAAUUAUUCCUAAAACCAAGCCCCUACACAGUAAUGCAUAAUCGUUGCAACCUCAUCUACAGCAUUCAAUCAUCAUCACAGAACAUCAAACCGUGCACCCUGUGCGACUCUCCUGGCAAGGUACUUCUUAGCAUUCUUACGGGCAAGAUCCCAGUACAUAGCUCUUCCCUCGGGCGUUAAAGUAAGCAUAUUCCUAUUCACACCUCUCAUGACUGGAUCUAUGACCAAGGCCUGAAGCCUGGUGGAGUUAUCUGCAACAUGAGCUGCAAGUUCAAUCUCACCCCGGGCCCCAUGGAACCCUGUGAUGAGCACCCUCUUAAGAUGACCGUGGCGACACGGAGGAAGGCUCCUGAUAGAUAACUUCUCAAAGUCAUUCAGCGGAAAGGAGCGGCGCAGAAACUGCAUAGAUCAAGAAUAACAUUAGCAUUUUAUUCUUGUACAGUGGCUUCUUCAGUCACAGAGAACACAUGAAGACAAUGCAAUAUAGGUAACAGAUAAUAUAGGAGGUAUGCAUUGUAAGGGAUAAGAUGAUGAUAACUUACAUGUAUAUCUAACUCCUCUAGUAGAGGGGCAGCCUUGAGAAAAGAAGCCAAGGAGAGGAGAUUGUCCUGACCAGAAAAAUACAACCUCAGCUGUAGAUACUUCAGAUGAGAAAACUUGGUCACAACCUCUGGCAAGUAAAAUACCUACAAAUGCCGGUUUAACCAAGUGAAUAGAUGUGAGGGGGAUGUAAUCAUAGCAUCAGAGUGAUCGAGCAGCAAACCUUCAAUGUCAUGCAUGCACUCAGAUUCAGGUUCUGUGCAUGGGGCAUCGCUCGGGGAAGUUCAGUAAUGGCAUGCUCUAGCGUCAACGAAGGAAAGUUCAUUUCCACAUGUCCUAGUUGCAGACUUUCACUGAGAUCGAGAGGUACCAUAAAUCCAUCAUAUACAAAAGUUCGGAGGUUCUUGGAGAUGAAGUGUAUUUUGUUUAUGCAACUGUGCGCCACGUGCAAGUGUUGCAGACGCGGAAGUGAUACCCUUAUGUCAUCAUGCGGAUGGCACAUAACGAUGCUUAAUCUCUCAAGAUUGGAGCAACUUGACAGAACGAGCUGAAGAUCAUUUGAAGAGACAUCCACACUGCUUAUAUCAAGCGCUUUGAGGUUUGGAAAACCACUAAAGUUGGGUUGUGCUUUAAGUGAUACGAAGCUGAGACGAAUUGCCUCAAGGCGGGACAUGCUUUGUUUGUCGAAAAGCUCAAACGGGAACACGUGCCGAUGUUUGCAGCAUCUUAAGUCCUCCGGCUCCAACUCAAUUGCUAGAUUCUUUGCCCGUGACAGGACAGCAAAUUUCACCCAGUUAUUGAGAUGAUCAACUAGCAGGUUGUCGAAUGGGAACUUGAUCUGAAAUUCUUCAACAGCCGUAGCACCACACUGCUUCAAGACAGCAUUGGCACUUGCAAUGAAAACCCGCGUGCGCUGCUCUUUGCUGGAAGUAGUACUAUUGGCACACAUCGUGGCACCAUAAGUAUUAGAUUAGGGCAUGAUGUCCACGUGUGCCUCCACUUGGUUGAAAGAGUGCUUGUCCGAACAAUUUCAUUCAGGGGCAGCUUUGAUAGGAUCAAACAUAGGACAUCCUGAAGCACAACCAUGCAUGUCAGGAGAAGCAAUUAAAUUUCUGGCAACACACACACACACACACAUAAACAGAUCUUGUUACAACAGAAUAUCAUCAAAUUCAUGUUGGUUUGGUGAUUUUGUUUUUGGAGAGACAAUGAUUGAUUUCUUUGGAAACUAGAAACAAGAUUGACAUAGGCAAAAGUCCCCUGAAACUACUGUUCUGCCAUUGCUACUGAGAAGAAAUGGGUGAGGAGGCCAGUUGAGGUGUUCCACAAGAUGUUUUCCUUUGUGCAGCAAGUGGUAAGUUCUUCUAAAGGAGCACGACAGGAGAGGUCGAUCAGAUGACACCAGGAAACUUUGACCAGAUAUAUUGUUCUGUUUCUUGUUAUAUUUUAGAGUUUAUUACUCAGCUGUUUUUGAUAGAAUCUAAGUAAACUGGCGAUCACGCGCACUGAAUACUACUAUUACGUAGAUAAAGUAAAAAUGCACACCUGUGGAAGGCUUUGGAACGGAUCGUUGGGUUGUUGUUUCUUCGUGGAGACUGAUCUGUCCUGUUGUUGUUUCUUCGCGGAGACUGGUCUAUCAUGGGAAAGCUUUGCUCUCUUAUUACUUCUACACAUUGUAUGUGGAACGAUCUUGGUUGCCUAAUCUGA